AUAUACAGGUUAGGUAUAUAUGUAUUUAAGAGGAAGUGUCACGGUACAAACAAUGGAUCAUCUAAUGCAACCGGGGGUAGUUGGCAGGGCAGGCUUUGGGAUUUCCUCUCACGAGAUGAGCCAAUCUGUGCAUCCCGGGUUUGAUUCCUACGGUUGGCUCCUGAAUUUACCUCCUUGUGGUAUAUGGAGUAGCAUCACAGGGGCGUGGGACUAGUCACGCGGACUGUAAAAUGGAUGUGUGACACCCAGCGAAAUUAAAAAAAAAAAAAAAAAAAAGAGAAAAAACCACUCAAGAAUUGUGGGCGCACAGCAAGGAGAGGGAAUAUUUUUCUGUGAGGAUAAUUUCCUACUUCCCGCGUGCUUAUGCGCUCCAUUUUCCAUCUGCAGACUCCCUAUAAAAGUCCCUGCGCAAAGCAAACCAGGGGGACCGUUCACUUUAUUUUCUGUUCAUCUUCACUAUUCGUCAUCCUCUCACCUCUUGAGAUCCUCUUACCAUCCUUGCACAACUCUCCAUCUCCCUCAUCUUUCAUCAACCUCCAGAUCCCUCCUCCUGCUCUCCCUUUUAUUUCCAGCCGACCACUAUCAUUCUCUCCCUCGUCCGUAACCGCAGCUUUGUAAAUUUCUUCGCAGCACAGCAGCUUCCUCCUCUGUUCAAGCACAGCACCAAAGGCCUUUUGUUCGUAGUAGCCGAAAACAACAGCAACAGAUCUAGCCACCUCGCCGGCCACCCCACUCGCACAGUCCACUCUCUCCUCUCUCCCAUUCUCUCUGCUACUCUCUCUCGACCUUCACCAUCACUGAAACCACCAUCUCCAUUGCUCACCUAUAACGGCACAACAACCCACAAACUCCCUGCUCUGACAGUGCAACUUCUCCUCACGAUUCUCCUCCAUCCGCAGCUCACAACCACCCGACCAUUGCUCACCAACCACAGCACCAGCUCCAGCUCUGUGACCACCUGCAAGCUCCUCACGACCAACCUACUUGUUAGCACUCCCACGCAGCCGACGACCAACCCUCACACCAGCCUUCCCCAUCAGCUAUAGCUCCAUCAACAACCACACAUUCAACUACAACCUAGCAACCACCACGGUAACUAUCUCCCAACCGAGCUCUCUCCCUCCAUAUUCUCUCUCGACCUUCACCAUCACCGAAACCACCAUCCCCAGAUCCGGCUACCAUCCAACGAGCUCACACAGCACCACCCGGCUUCAGCAUUUGCUUCAGCUUCUUCGCAGCUUUCCGCCUCUCGGAUACCUCACGGCCAGCAGCCCACACGACUGCUCCAUCAUUGUCAACAUCAGACCACCUCUGCAACCUCCAUGCCAUAACAAAAUAUAGGAAAACAUGGCGAGCAUAACCCAGCCGGCCUCCUUCUCGGCCACUCGAAAAAAAAAAAAAAAAAACAACAGAAAAAAAAAAACAAAAAACCAGCAGCUCGUCUUCUCAAAUCUCUGCAUCACCAUCGUGAGCGUGCAGACAACGCAACCACCAACAGCUCUCGGCGUCCUGUUCCAUUCUCCUCCUCACCGGUGUCAAGCUGUCUCGCCUCAAUCCUAGCUCACCCUCACGGAUCAUCUCUCCUCACCCUUCAUCUUUGCCUCAUCACUCAACCGAGCCACCAUCUUCCAGGAAACCAGCGUCACCAUCGUCAACCUCUAGAGCACCGGUUUCAUCUCCACCAUCUCCGGCAACUCCCUCCAGCCACCUGCACGAGCUCACAACCUCACCUCGACAGCCGCCCUCUUGUAGAUCAGACCUGACGGACUCUCCCCGAUUCUUAGUCUCACUGUCUCUUGGACUCAAAACAAAACCCCGUUUCAGAGAUUUAGAGUUCGAUUCCAAAUCUGUUACUAAUCGUUUUCGUGAGGUGUAUUUCACGUUGGAGGUCGUGGUUGGGUUCGACUCUGCGGCUGGUUUGCUCUUUAUCGGUUUCACGGAGGUCUCACUCUUCUCAAGCUUCGGGAGCACACAAGUAUCGUUCUGGUUGCAACCCUUCCUAAUGAAUCUCCUGAAGUACCUUCCACUGUUAUUGGGUUGAGGUUUAAGUAUGUGAUUUUCGUGAUGUGUGGUUCGAUCUCGGCCAGCUGAGUCUGUUAAAACACUUUCACACUCACACACUAUACACACUACGCACGCACCCCAUGCAUUUUCACAUACUCACGCACACACACACACACACACACACCUGCACACACACUGUUACACACACUCAAACACACACACACACACACACACACACACACACCCUUUUACACACACUAAAACACACAUUAAAGCACGUACACCCACACACUCCCAAACACACUGUCAACACCACACACACCGACUGCUCUUCUCUCCCAUUCACAACAUACACACAACUGUAGAAGAAACAACACACAUAGCUGCGGAGAGUGCACGACCGUCUCUAAAGGAGAAAACCACUAGCAUACCCCUAGUGUUUGAUUUGUAGGCUAGCUUUUUAAUUAACAGAUUCAUUUAUUCUUUCUGCCAUAUGUUUUAAUCAAUGUCUUGUGUGUCAGGGAGUUGUUGGAAUUUUAAUGGGGGAAUGCAUGUCUUUGAUGUGUGGCGAGCUGAUUGAUUGAUGAUGAUAUAAUUGGACUUUUUGGGCAGUUCCAGGAAAAUGAAAAUGAACAAAAACAGAAAAGAAGAAAUCUUUGGUUUAUUAUGAUGUUGUUGGCAGGUGAACAUAAUUCGGUGAAAAUUGAAUUAAUCGAAUUAAUUGGUCGAAAUUAGCUGGUUCGAUUUGGGUAAAAAAUUUGGUUCGAUCGAUUAGGUUAAAAUUCUACAAAUUUUUGAUUAAUCGGUUUCGGUUCGAUUAACAGUUAAAAAAAUAUUGGUUAACCGAUUAACUGAAUUACUAAUGGUUUAUAUUUUUAAUAUAAUUUAUAAUAGGGCAGUCGGGGUCGGCGACUCGAGCGACUCGAGCUUGGCCGCUUGGGGCUUGGGCCUGGGGGGAAAAAAAGGCUUCGUGCCUUCGUUCACUUCAUAGUUCACACUUCACACUCAGAGACUCACAGUGGGGAAUGGGGAUUGGGGAUUAGAGUUAAGGUUUAUUCUCACUUCCUUAGUUUCUCUGUGCUCUGUCGAGUGCCGAUCUGCCCCGCACGGCGCACGCCCGCAAGCCGCAGCUCUCCUGCCUCUCCAUCGGAGUCAUCGGACCACCUCUCAGACUCGGAGUCGGCAAAUCCCCUCUAGCUUCUUUGAGUCUUCGGCAGCUCGACUCUCCAGAGUCUAGCCUCUCGUCUCGGUCCUCAGCGUCUCAGACUCUCAGUCACCAGCUCGCCGUGCAAACCCGGACCCCAGUGGCAAUGUUAAAGGGAAUAGAGGUGGAGGUGCCAAACUUAGAGGAUGCAAUAAUGACGCAAGCUAAUUCCCAACAUCAGCCUUCAAAUCCCAGUAUGACAAGUGAGAGUACUACUAAUCCUCCUACUCAAUCUAAUCAAAAAGUUAGGAAGAAAAUGAGACCAAGAUUUGAAGUGUGGGAUCACUUCACUAAAUUUGUGACGGAGUCUGGUGAAAUUAAGGGUAAGUGUCAUUAUUGUCAUAUUGAUUACUGUGCUGAUCCUAAAAAGAAUGGUACGGGCAUACUUAAAUAUCAUAUGGUUAGAUGUGCACAAAAUCCACAUGUUGAAGAAACAAAACAGACACAAUUAAAUUAUCAACUAGCCUUAAAAAAUGCAGAGGGCUCAGAGGCAACUCUUACAAAUUGAAAAUUUGACCAAGAGGCAAUUCGAAAGACAUUGUCUUACAUGCUUACUGUUGAUGAAUUGCCUUUUAAAUUUGUAGAGAAUAUGAGAUUCAAACAUCUUAUGAAAGUUGCAUGCCCUCGUUUUAGAAUUCCAUCAAGAUGGACAAUUUCUAGGGAUUGUUAUGACCUUUACAUGGAAGAGAGGUUAAAGUUGAAAAAGUUUUUGAAAACCUUCUUUCAAAGGGUUAGUUUCACAACUGAUACAUGGACUUCUUUGUAAAAGGUCAAUUAUAUGUGUUUGACUGCACACUUUAUAGAUAAUGAUUGGAAAUUGAACAAAAACAUCCUUAACUUUUGUCCAAUUUAUAGUCAUAAAGGUGAAGAGAUAAGUAUGGCCAUUGAGAGAUGUUUGCUUGAUUGGGGAGUUAAUAAUGUGUUUACAAUAACUGUAGAUAAUGCAAGUUCAAAUGACGUUGCAAUUGCCUACAUAAAAAAGAAAACUUUUCAAUUAGAGAAAAGACAUUUGUGGAGGCAAAUUCUUGCACAUGAGGUGCAUUGCACAUAUAAUUAACCUAAUUGUGCAAGAUGGUUUGAAAGAAAUAGGGGAUUUAGUUGCUCGUGUUAGAGACGUAGUUAUAUAUGUUAGGCAUUCACCUGCUAGGUUGAAAAAUUUCAAGCGUUGCGCAGAAGUAGAAAAAGUAGAAUGCAAAAAGAUGUUAUGCCUAGAUGUUAGCACUCGAUGGAAUUCUAUUUAUCUGAUGUUAGACACGGCUCAAAGAUAUGAAAUGGCUUUUGAAAUGUUUAGGGAUGAAGAUCCUUCAUUUAGAAAUGAGUUUGAGACUAGGGAUGGCAUACCAAGUAGUUUUGAUUGGGAACAAGUCAGAAAAUUUGUGAUGUUUUUGGAACACUUCUAUGAACUCACUAUACGAGUUUCAGGUUUUUUGUAUGUUAUAAGUAAUAAUUUUUUUGAUGAAAUUAGUGGGAUUGAUUGUCUUCUAAAAGAGUGGGAAAAUAGUGAUGACCUGGAGUUGAGUUUAAUGAGCAUGAAAAUGAAGGAUAAAUACAACAAGUACUGGGGAAACAUUGACAAAAUGAAUAUAUUGAUUUUUGUUGCAUCUGUUCUUGACCCUAGACGUAAGUUGGGAUUUGUGCAAUAUGCUCUUUCUACUAUGUAUGAAGGGGACAAAGGUUUAUUGGUGGGGAAAAAGGUUCAGGAUACAACAAUGGAAUUGUUUGCUGAGUAUAAAAAGUUGUCACAAUCUAAAAAUGAAGAAUCAAACAGAAGUGAAACUUCAAGCUUGACUUGCUCCACUGGUCAAGGUGAAGCAGCAGAACGAAAGUUCAAAGUUUUGUAUUAAAAGUACAAGACUCAAAUUAGAGGUGGAGAUAAUAAAUCAAAGUUGCAUAGGUAUUUGGAGGAGGAUUGUGAAAAUGAUGUGGAGGGCUUUGAUAUUUUGGAGUGGUGGAGGUUAAAUAGUCAAAGGUUUCCCAUCCUUUCAUAUAUGGUUCGUGAUGUUUUAGCAGUACCCAUCUCUACAGUUGCUUCAGAGUUUGCUUUUAGCACAAGGGGGCGUGUUCUCGAUGCCUUUAGGAGUUCUUUGACUCCUAAAAUUGUUCAAGCUCUUAUCUGUACACAAGAUUGGAUGGGGGUUCACAUACUCCAAUUAAGAUUGAAGAAGACAUAGAUGACCUUGAAAAUCUAGAAAAAGAGUUGUCAAAGGUUGCAUUGGAGUCCACAGUUGGUGAAUAUGACAAACAAAGAAAGACAAAGGACUUACAGGUGAAAUAAGCAGAGAAAUUGUGCUUUGUAUUUUGCAAUGUAAGAAGCUGAAAAGUGGAGUUUCUAAUACAAGAAGCCAUGAAAUUGUAGCUGUCACUUGUCAGCUGAUGUAUGAAGCAUUGAAGUCCUAGUUUUUUUUUUUUUUUUAAAUUUUUUAGAAACAAUUUAUAUUUUAUGUUUGUUUUUUAUUUUUAUUUUACACAAACUGUUUACAUUGGUCUGUAAUAUAAUAUUAUGAACUUUGUACUUUUGAACUCAAAUCUAAGUAGACAUUGCAGACCUUUAAAUUUCA